rnacentral:sRNA from 1 species
UUUUUGCGUUAGGGAUUGUAGCGGCAUCUUUUUAAUUGUUUUAUUUUACUAAAGAAGAAAAACAAUUAAAAAAUAUAGCGAAAAGCCCGACCCUUG